UCUGGGCGUAAGCGUGCGCUAGGCGGUUUUGUAAGACAGAGGUGAAAUCCCCGGGCUCACCUGGGAACUGCCUUUGUGACUGCAAGGCUAGAGUACGGCAGAGGGGGAUGGAAUUCCGCGUGUAGCAGUGAAAUGCGUAGAUAUGCGGAGGAACACCGAUGGCGAAGGCAAUCCCCUGGGCCUGUACUGACGCUCAUGCACGAAAGCGUGGGGAGCAAACAGGAUUAGAUACCCUGGUAGUCCACGCCCUAAACGAUGUCAACUGGUUGUUGGGUCUUAUCUGACUCAGUAACGAAGCUAACGCGUGAAGUUGACCGCCUGGGGAGUACGGCCGCAAGGUUG
rnacentral:rRNA from 1 species